CAAGCAUAAUUCCCAAGCUCACAGUGGCAAAGAGUGCAGAAGAAGUCAGAAGCAUCAUGGGCAAGCAGAACAUCUUCUUUAUGAAGGUGCUUUCCCAGCUCCCUUGGAUAGAAGAUAUCAAGACAGAAUAGCUGUGUUUGAUGGAGCACAGUCACGGGAUGCUGGAUCUGCUCCUGUUUCUCUAAGUGACUCUGUCCAGCCUGUUACCCAUGGACCCCAGACUGACAACAGGGGCUAUUUUUGAGACAUGCUUCUAGGGAAAAGGAUGGAGCUGGUCUUAUUCUCACCAAAAAAAAAAAAAAAGAAAGGCAGCAAGGGAAUAAAUAAUAUCUUCACUUAUUAAAGAACAUAUUUCAGGCUGGAUUUCACCCUGUCUCCAAGUAACCAUGCCUUCUGCUAAAGAACAGUUCUGAUAAAUGUCUGCAGUUUCCAUAAGCUUGCAUCUGGGAGGUAUAAACUGUGUCAGAGAUGAGCUCAAGCUGUGAUGUUCGAAGAGUCUGGCUGGGUCUGAGCUUUUGGGGCUGUGCUCAGGACCUCAGGAAGCAGAUACUGCUCAGUGGAGUGUGGGGGAGCUAGCUUUGACGCAGAAGGUUUCUGCACAAGGAGGCCCAGAUGAUGGAUUUGGACUUGAAAAAGUAACCAUAAUAUAUUUACACCAUAAUGUAUAUAAUGGGGUGUGUGUGUGUUUGCGAAGGAAUGCUGGAAGGGGGUUCGUGCAAUAAGGCAUGAUUUAUGUUGUCUGAGUAGAGGAUGUAGCCUUCUUUUAUCCCAUCUGAGGACCCGUCUGGGAAUUUCAUCAUGGUAGAAAAACAGUGAGGUGAAAAGGCAUCCUUGCUUUAGAUGAUCUAACCCUAGUCCAACUCAGUAGCAUCUGAGAGCAGGUUACCACAAGCACAGUCGUGAUGCCAGGACUUAAACAGUUUCCAUCUCCCCACAAAGACCAGCUCACAUUAUCCAGCGGAGAUGAACAAAAAUUCCAUUUGCCAUGGUGGGCUCAUUAGUUACAGGUGAAAUUUUGCUCUCCUCACUGCCUAAACCCCUUAAGGGUACUUUGGGUCCAUUCCUAGUCCCAUUAAAGCCAAUGGGAGCAGGAUUGUGCUCCAGAAGGUAUUAUUCUUAAUUUAAACAUUAAUGGCUGAAGUCUCUGUUGUUAAUAAUAAUAACCCCUUGGAAAAUUCA